UUCGUAAAGCACUUUCAGUAGGGAGGAAGGUAGUGUAGUUAACACCUGCACUAUUUGACGUUACCUACAGAAGAAGCACCGGCUAACUCCGUGCCAGCAGCCGCGGUAAUACGGAGGGUGCGAGCGUUAAUCGGAAUUACUGGGCGUAAAGCGCAUGCAGGCGGCCUGUUAAGUCAGAUGUGAAAGCCCGGGGCGUUAACCUCGGAAUUGCAUUUGAAACUGGCAGGCUAGAGUCUUGUAGAGGGGGGUAGGAAUUUCAGGUGUAGCGGUGAAAUAGCGUAGAGAUCUGAAGGAAUACCAGUGGCGAAGGCGGCCCCCUCGGACAAAGACUGACGCUCAGAUGCGAAAGCGUGGGGAGCAAACAGGAUUAGAUACCCUGGUAG
rnacentral:rRNA from 1 species